rnacentral:rRNA from 1 species
UACAGAGACUGCAAGCGUUAUUCGGAUUCACUGGGCGUAAAGGGUGCGCAGGCGGCCGUGUGUGUCAGGUGUGAAAGCCCGGAGCUUAACUCCGGAAUUGCGCCUGAAACUACAUGGCUAGAGCAUUGGAGAGGGUAGCGGAAUUCACGGUGUAGCAGUGAAAUGCGUAGAUAUCACUCGGAAGGCCAACGGCGAAGGCAGGUCACUGGUGCGCAACUGACGCUGAGGCACGAAAGCGUGGGGAGCAAACAGG